UACGGAGGAUGCGAGCGUUACCCGGAUUUAUUGGGUUUAAAGGGUGCGUAGGCGGACUGUCAAGUCAGCGGUAAAAUUGAGAGGCUCAACCUCUUCCCGCCGUUGAAACUGGUGGUCUUGAGUGGAUGAGAAGUACGCGGAAUGCGUGGUGUAGCGGUGAAAUGCAUAGAUAUCACGCAGAACUCCGAUUGCGAAGGCAGCGUACCGGCAUCCAACUGACGCUGAGGCACGAAAGCGUGGGGAUCAAACAGG
rnacentral:rRNA from 1 species